AUCCAGCUGACGAGUCUUGAAUCGGAUGAGACAUGUGUCCUGGAU
rfam:Schistosoma mattheei strain Denwood, Zambia genome assembly, scaffold: SMTD_scaffold0005061